rnacentral:misc_RNA from 1 species
AUGCUCGAGCUGCUCGCGGCGGCGAGAGCGGGGCCGCCGCGUGCCGGCCGGGGGACGGACCGGGAACGGCCCCCUCGGGGGCCUUCCCCGGGCGUCGAACAACCGACUCAGAACUGAAUCCAAGCUAGCAACCGGCGCCUCUGCUCGCCGCCCGCCCCGACCCACGUUAGGGCGUUCGCGCCCCCAAGGGCCCGUGCCAUUGGCUCAGCCCGCCCGGCCGACGCGCCGCGGCGGGCCGCCUCGAAGCUCCCUUCCCAACGGGCGGCGUGCUGA